AGCUGGGUUCAGAACGUCGUGAGACAGUUCGGUCCCUAUCCGUCGCGGGCGUUGGAAAUUUGAGAGGAGCUGUCCUUAGUACGAGAGGACCGGGAUGGACUUACCGCUGGUGUACCAGUUGUUCUGCCAAGGGCAUUGCUGGGUAGCUAUGUAGGGAAGGGAUAAACGCUGAAAGCAUCUAAGUGUGAAGCCCACCUCAAGAUGAGAUUUCCCAUUUCUUUAAGAAAGUAAGAUCCCUGAGAGAUGAUCAGGUAGAUAGGUCAGGAGUGGAAGUACAGUGAUGUAUGGAGCGGACUGAUACUAAUCGAUCGAGGACUUAACCAAU
rnacentral:rRNA from 1 species